rnacentral:rRNA from 1 species
CUUUACGGCCAUACCAACCUGGCUAUGCCCGAUCUCGUCUGAUCUCGGAAGCUAAGCAGGUUUGGGCCUGGUUAGUACUUGGAUGGGAGACCGCCUGGGUAAUACCAGGUGCUGUAAGCU